rnacentral:rRNA from 1 species
UACGUAGGGGGCAAGCGUUAUCCGGAAUCAUUGGGCGUAAAGCGCGUGUAGGCGGUUCCGUAAGUCCGCUCUGAAAGCCCAGGGCUCAACCCUGGGAGGCGGGUGGAUACUACGGAACUGGAGUACGGAAGAGGAGAUUGGAAUUCCUGGUGUAGCGGUGAAAUGCGCAGAUAUCAGGAGGAACACCGGUGGCGAAGGCGGGUCUCUGGGCAGUAACUGACGCUGAGGAGCGAAAGCGUGGGGAGCGAAC